rnacentral:lncRNA from 12 species
CCUGUUGUAUAUUUACAGUACAAUUCUACAUGCAUCUUAAAACAGAUUUAUGAGUUUUUAUGUUGCACUAAAAGCCUCCGUCAUUCUGACAGGCCUUCGAUCGCCCCGAUGAUGAACGCCCGCCGUGUCUGUCCACCCCGGGCCGUCCCCGACUCGAGACGCGACCCACAAGACAACUACCAACUUAAUUUAGGAGUGUGAUUACUUAAAAACGGGCUCCGUAAUGGAAGGCACGCACACCGUGCUGCGUCUGUACAAACCCAUCCAGGAGCUGUGCUUCAUCAGUCUCUACCUCCCAACGAGGAAGUCCCGAGGUUUCCCACGCGCUGACCAAACCCCUCGUGAAGCCCGGCCUCAGGAUGAAGACGCCAAACAAAGAGGCCAGUAUUACUGCGAGGGGACACAAGGAGCGGUCACACAGCUCCACUGGCUGGCCGCAGAACACCAUCAGCUGCUGACGGAGCUCCUGUCUUUAUGCAGUGAAUGUGCAGACAGGAUUAAGAUGGGCAACCAGGACGGGAAGCUCCUGGAAGGACACGGGGAACAUCUGGGACAUGAUGUCAGCAGCAGUAACUUCUCUAUAUCUCUGCCCCCGGAGCAUAAGAGAGCUGCUUCUAGAGUUCGUAAGCUGAAGAAGCUGGGUUCUAAGAAGAUGGACAGCGCUGAAGAGUUCUUGCAGAGUCGGAUAAAGAAGAAGGUGCAAAGCGGAGCGUCUGAGUUUUCUCCAAAAGCACCAGGAACGCCAGUGUCCUUCCAUGGCCGGGAUACUCCAGGGUCAGGCUCUUAUAUCAGCGUCUCCAGCGAGCCUCUUCUUCCAAUGGAGGAACACUUCCAGAUCGCCCACGAUGGCUGGGAUUUUAUGGAAGAGCCUCGCUCUUUUGAGUCCGAGCUGUCGGAGUUUGAUAACCGACUCACUUUGGACUGCGAGAAAUCACUGGGGAACCGACGUGGAUGUGUGCUACAGGAGCUGAUGUCCAUUGGGAAUACUGACGGAAACCAACAAGGUCAAUCAACCUUCGGAAGUUUGGAAGUCAACCAAAGGGACGACAACCAGGAAUCUGGAUCUCAUUCCAGUUUGGAUGUGGAUCAGAGCCACAACCAGGAACUUGGACAAGAAGAGCUCAAGCUCUUUACUCAGGUGAACGCCGGGUCAAACUUCUCACCCUCCAUUGACGCCAACUCGAGAAGCUCUACGCUUCAUCCCUGGAGCAGAAGCCCCACAUCCAUCUCUCUCUCUGGGCUCUUCAACGUGUCUUAUCCUCCUACCAACAGUCUCCAGAGCAUGUCUCCUGUCCUGUCGCCUCUGUCUUCUCAACUUUCGAGUCCCCAAAUGAACCACCGCAUUGUGUUGCUGCCUGAGGAGGAUGAUGGAAAUAAAUGCUCCUCGAGAGACGAGCCCAAAGUCGCCACAGAGGUCAUCGACAAAAACGGCAACCGCCGGACGCUCACACGUCUGGACCUGAACCUCAGCAAUCAUUUCAACAUGAUCGGAGCCGGUACAUCGAGUGCCACGACCUCAGAAAACUCUCUGUUGCGGACGGAGGACAUCUGGAUGCUGGAUGUGGAUGAAUCCGUUACCCAGGAGGCUUUGCGUCGUCUCAGCAGACCAGAUCACCUGGACUUCCUGAGAAUCACGCCACCAGAGGAUGACAUCAUCGGAGACACUCCGUAUAAUCCCAAGCUCGGAAUAGCAGUGAGUCAGUCAGCUCUGGGAUGAAAUUAACAUAUAAUAGACUUCUGCAUUUAUUCUUGAUGUUUAUUCAGUUAGAAGCCCGUUUAAAAAAAUAAAAAGGUAAUUGCAAAUCUUUUUUUUUUCUGAAUUCUGGCUUUAUACUGUAUCUCACAAUUCUAGUUUAUAUCUCAUAAUUCUGA